rnacentral:lncRNA from 1 species
GAGAAGCCUGGAUUUGACUCUUUGCUCUGCCACUUCAUAUUUAAAUACAUUUAAAUUCUAGUUUUAGAAAAGCUUAGAUUACAUUGUUGCUUUUUAUUUUGUGCAUCUGGAUUAAUAUUCCUGGAGUCAGUUUACAUGCCUUGCUGUUAGAAUCUCAGUAACCUGUUUUAGUGUUCGUUGGGGGAGAAGGAGUGUUGGAAUGGCUAAUUCAUUUCAUUAUAUUUCGAUUUGGGGGAUAUUUUUGAAUUUAUAUUUGAAUAAUUAAUUCUCUUUACAUGUCAGAGCU